UGAGUAACACGUAUCCAACCUGCCGUCUACUCUUGGACAGCCUUCUGAAAGGAAGAUUAAUACAAGAUGGCAUCAUGAGUUCACAUGUUCACAUGAUUAAAGGUAUUCCGGUAGACGAUGGGGAUGCGUUCCAUUAGAUAGUAGGCGGGGUAACGGCCCACCUAGUCUUCGAUGGAUAGGGGUUCUGAGAGGAAGGUCCCUCACAUUGGAACUGAGACACGGUCCAA
rnacentral:rRNA from 1 species